ACUAUUUGAUAAGUUGAGUUGGGGUAUGAAUUGGAAUUGAAGUGAGAUAGUUUCGAGGACGAAACUCUUUUAAGGAAGGGAGGAUGUAAGGUACCGAACUUCUAAAAUUAUGAAGUUACGGUAUAUAUUUGGUUUGAAAGCCAUUUGAAUGGUUCUGGUGAGGUUGCGAUGAAAUGUAAUAUACAGAAUUUUUAAAUAUAAAAAUAGAANGGUUGUGCAUGUAAGGAAGUGAAUUCUCGAAAUUCGAGAGUUGUGCUUCGUCCAGGAUCGACUAUUUGUCGAGUGAGUAUCCUUCGGAAAAGCUAAGGAUGUCCAAAACACAAAAAGUGCAUUGGAAACGUGUCCGCGAGAGCAAAUAUGCAAAAAUCUGGGCUUAGCAAAUUUUGCUCUCGGGGACCGGUCCCUGGAAGGGAGGACCGGUCCCCGUAGCUGAUGGUUGCGGGGGAGGUUGGUGCAACGGUCCCUGGCUGAGGGGACCGGUCCCCGUAUGCGACACCAGCGAAAAAAGGGCUAAGUCCUGGAAAUUCAGCUCUCGGGAACCAGUCUCUCAGGAAGGACCGGUCUCCCAAGGACCGAUCUCUCGGGCGGGGACCGGUUCCUGUACGCGAAGGGUCCCCAGGCCGCAGGGAGGGCUCUCGGGGACCGGUCUCCCCGACGAGGGACCGGUCCCUCUAGGUGCAGAAUGCCUAGUGAGGGCUGUGCACAAGGAUGAAAAUUGAGGGGCUUAUUUGCACUUAUGCAACAUGUGGGGCUAUGUGAGGGGUAUGAGAGCUCUUUUCUCUCAUUUCUCACCCACACACCCUCUCAUAUCUCUCUUUCUCUCUCUAGAAGACAAGAAGAGGAAGAAGAAAGGAAAGGAAAGAAAGAGAAGGAGAAGGAGGUCUUCCUCAUCUUCUUCAUCUUCUCCUUGGUUGGAGCUUCUUGGAGAGGUAAGCUUCUAAGCUCUCUCUCAUGGUGGAUUUCUAGAGAUAGGUUUGAUUGCUCUAGAAAUGGAGUUUUGUGUUAUCUGAGGGCGUAGUACCUGCCAGUACAGGUAUAGAGCCAGAUGGCACUAGCGAAGUGCUAGAAGUAAUCUAUGGCGAGAAGUGAGACUCGCGGUAGAGAUAGAAGUGGCGAAACGACUCUCAGAGCAAUAUGAGUAGUAAAUUGCGAGAGUUGAGCCAUGAUGCUUAUGAGAACACCCGAGUAGUCCAAAAAUUUCGGAUGUCAUUCCGAUAGAUCGAACAGUGAAAGUAGCAUCACUGUUUAGAGAACGGUCGAUUAGUGGCCAAGUUUGAGCACGUGGGCCUAGUAGUACCUCAAGGUGAGGUAGGCAGUUGCGCUCGUGCGGCCGGUGUGCAUAGGCAUGAUUGCCUAAUGCUGGACUUAGAGUGGGACGCUAUAGAGGCGUAUAGAGCGCUCGAGUGUGGGUACUCGUAGAGUGCGGUUUCGAUUCAGCCGGGAGAGUGAGUUGGUAGUAGCACUCAGCAUUGCUAAGUGUGAAGCGGGCCAUGGAUCACUCGUGGGGCUGGUGGCUCGCACUAGGUGCAUAGGAGCCGAUAGUGAUACGUAUUGCUCGAUAGAGCGUGUAAUGCGAUUGAUAGUAUACUGAGAGUACGAUUGUGACCCAACCCGAGAAUUUGAUACGGUUUGGGAUCUUGGUUGCUCCUGGUUGGAGUGUGUGCGAAUUCCCAAGUGAGAAUUUCGCCCCAGUUAUGAUUGGGUCUACGCUUGCGAGCGAGAGGCGCUACGCAUAUGUUGAGAUGGGUUUAGGCUGUAGGCCUACGUAGUAUUGGUGGCCUUUGGCUCACCUGUGAAAAACCGAGGAAAGUGAUUUGGCGAGUAGCCUUAUUGGGGAGUUUGACUUGAGUUCACGAACGAUGUGCUCGUGUGAGUCGUUGCGAAAGUGGUAUGAUGUUGACCGUGGCAUAUGGUAUUAGGUAAUGAGGUGCUCUUGGCGAGGCCUUGAGCUAAUGGCCAGCCACGUAGAAGUGGAAUUGGGAUGCGCCGAGGUGGGCCAUCUCACGUCAAAGUUAAGGGCUAGUGCAGAAUUAAAGCACUUAUGAUGAAGCGGUGCACCGGUGAUAUUGCUUUUAGGCAAUGUCGGUGAUUGAUUUGGAAUGCAUUCCCUGAAGGGGAAGUAAAUGCAAGGAAGAGUUCUUGCUUGUCAAGUGGCAAGUGGUGUUGGAGAGCGUAGAGUCAUCGAGUUUCGACUUGCACUACCACAUAGAGUGACGGAGACCGUAAUUUACUUUGUGAGGUGUGCCUUGCAAAGUUGGAUGCAUUUGGUAUCAUGAGCUCCGUAGUAGUCCUUUUGGAUAGUUCCGAUGAGUGAAAGGCUACUCCGAGAUGCAAAAGUGCAUUAGGACCCUCAACUAUUUGAUAAGUUGAGUUGGGGUAUGAAUUGGAAUUGAAGUGAGAUAGUUUCGAGGACGAAACUCUUUUAAGGAAGGGAGGAUGUAAGGUACCGAACUUCUAAAAUUAUGAAGUUACGGUAUAUAUUUGGUUUGAAAGCCAUUUGAAUGGUUCUGGUGAGGUUGCGAUGAAAUGUAAUAUACAGAAUUUUUAAAUAUAAAAAUAGAA
rnacentral:lncRNA from 1 species